AAUAAGUAACAAUAACCUUCGUAUAUGCUUAAUAAUAUGGUUUAAGCGUUUCUACAAUACUACCGUAAAAAGUAUUACUAUGAAGAUAAUAAAAAU
rnacentral:ncRNA from 1 species